UGCAAUUCCAUACUCUUAAAAGACUAUUCAAAAUAUAUAAAUUCCAUCCAACACCAGAAAUAACAGACUUCACUCCAACCAAUCUGAAUUCACACAAUUUCUAUAAUCACAAACUUCCUUUGUCGAAACACACACACAACUCUCAAUAAACAACAAUCAUAAUCUUCCAUCCAUAAUCAAUCUUCCAAUAACUUCUCAUAUAAUUCAAUCACAUAGUACUCCAAUUACAUAAUGAAUAUCUUUUAAAUCAAUCUCUGAUUUAUUCUACAGACUCACUUCUCAAUAUUCAAAAACUAUC
rnacentral:lncRNA from 1 species